CACGUAGGGAGCAAGCGUUGUCCGGAUUUACUGGGCGUAAAGGAUGCGUAGGCGGACAUUUUAAGUCAGAUGUGAAAUACCCGAGCUUAACUUGGGUGCUGCAUUUGAAACUGGGUGUCUAGAGUGCAGGAGAGGUAAGUGGAAUUCCUAGUGUAGCGGUGAAAUGCGUAGAGAUUAGGAAGAACACCAGUGGCGAAGGCGACUUACUGGACUGUAACUGACGCUGAGGCAUGAAAGCGUGGGGAGCAAACAGG
rnacentral:rRNA from 1 species